AGCUGCCAAAUAGCAUUAAGAAGGGAUACACCCCAAUCAUCGACAAACGCAAGCCAUGGUUUAUAGGAAAAUCAUCAAUAAACGCAAAGCGAGCUGCCAAAUAGCAUUGAGCAUAGAUAUAUCAUUUGAUUUGUCCAUCCUCAAAAAACAGAAAUAAGUAAAGCUCCAUGGUAAUAGUAAAAUUCACCACAUUCCACUAUCCAAAGCCGCACAUAUCCAUAUAAAUGAAAUGUACACAAUGAGAUGCAUUCACCAUCGCAUAUUCAUAUAAAUGAACUGAACACAAUGAGAUACAUUCACCAUCACACGCAAACAAAGAAGAAAAGGAAAGUGAAGAAAGCAAAUCUUACACACUCGACCCAUUGACGAGAAUCAUCAGUCCACUCCAAAGCAGGGUCAUUUUAGUCCUGGUUUAGUUUUGUGGGGACAAUCGGGUUCUGUAUUUUCGAGCUUGGGAGCGAAGAACGGCGGAGCUUCGGCGAUUUCAGCCGUCGGCGGCGGAGUUGGCCGGCUCACAGCGGGUGGAAGACACAGGGCUGAAGGCGCGAUGGAAGUCAAGCGGCGGUCGACAGCCCACAGUGCCCCGUCGGCGUGAUGGGUGAUGGCGGCGAGAUUGGGAUGGAGGAGAAGAAGGCAGCCGAUUUUUGGUGAAGAAGAAGAGCCGAGGGAUUUUUUUCUAAUUCAAGUGAUAUUAGGGCUUUUUUGUGUG
rnacentral:lncRNA from 1 species